UAACUUGCAGUAGUGCCAUGCCUCAAACCAUAACUUAAACACAUAGGGGAUAGGGGUUUUGGAUGCAUAGUAGAAUAGGCAAAAAGAAAUGAGUAUGCUAGAAUGAGUGUUGAACUAUACAUAAGCAGUAAAUAGGGAUACAAAAGCCGUAAAUAAAUACAUUGUUGUGGUGCUAAAACUUAAAGCAGGACAUACUAGUUUCAAAGAGACAAAUAGAGAGAAAGCAAGCAACAUAUC
rnacentral:lncRNA from 1 species